rnacentral:misc_RNA from 1 species
GAUGAAGAACGCAGCGAAAUGCGAUAAGUAGUGUGAAUUGCAGAAUUCAGUGAAUCAUCGAAUCUUUGAACGCAUCUUGCGCUCCUUGGUAUUCUGAGGAGCAUGCCUGUUUGAGUGUCAUUAAAUUCUCAACUACACUGACUUUGAAUUGGUGUGGCUUGGAUUUGGGGGGAAAAUUGUUGUGGGCUUUUUGUAUAGUCUGCUCCCCUGAAAUUGAUUAGCGGUACCUUUGUGGAACUGUCUACAGGUGUGAUAAUUAUCUACAUCUUAGACAUCUGCUGGAAUGCUGCUUUCUAAACCUUACUUGUAUUGACAAUCUUGACCUCAAAUCAGGUAGGACUACCCGCUGAACUUAAGCAUAUCAAUAAGCGGAGGA